rnacentral:rRNA from 1 species
GUUGAACGCUGGCGGAAUGCUUUACACAUGCAAGUCGAGCGGCAGCACGGGGGUAACCCUGGUGGCGAGCGGCGAACGGGUGAGUAAUACAUCGGAACAUGCCCAGUCGUGGGGGAUAACACUUCGAAAGAAGUGCUAAUACCGCAUACGUCCUGAGGGAGAAAGCGGGGGAUCGCAAGACCUCGCGCGAUUGGAGUGGCCGAUGUCAGAUUAGCUAGUUGGUGGGGUAAAGGCCUACCAAGGCAACGAUCUGUAGCUGGUCUGAGAGGAUGAUCAGCCACACUGGGACUGAGACACGGCCCAGACUCCUACGGGAGGCAGCAGUGGGGAAUUUUGGACAAUGGGGGCAACCCUGAUCCAGCCAUUCCGCGUGAGUGAAGAAGGCCUUCGGGUUGUAAAGCUCUUUCGGCAGGAACGAAACGGUGAGCUCUAACAUAGCUUGCUAAUGACGGUACCUGAAGAAGAAGCACCGGCUAACUACGUG